rnacentral:rRNA from 1 species
AAAAGUUCUGUCUCUUUCUAAUUUUUUUGAAUUUUACUUUUAAGUUAAAAGGCUUAAAUUUUGUUAAAAGACGAGAAGACCCUAUAGAGUUUUAUUAUUUAAUUUUUAUUGAGUUUUGGUAAUAUAAUUCUUAAGAUGUAAAAUAAUUUGGUUGGGGUGAUUGGAAAAUUUAUUUAACUUUUCUUUUAUUUUUACAUUUAUUUAUGAUUGAUUGAUCCGUUAUUUACGAUUAUAAGAUUAAAUUACCUUAGGGAUAACAGCGUA